rnacentral:rRNA from 1 species
AAAUCAGUGGCGGUGCCGUCUGGCUUCAAGCGUAGUAAUACUUCUCGCUCUGGAGCCCGGGCGAGCGUCCCGCCAGAACCCCCCAUAUUCUUUC